ACUCAGGUAGCUUAAUAAAGAGAGCGUGACAUUGAAGAUGUCAAGGUGGUAAUUAACUUCUGGGUA
rnacentral:tRNA from 1 species